AUGCUGCUCGGACUCUUCAAAAAUGCCGUUGGGUUCGUGUCGGAUCCUCCAAAAGUAGUGGAUUUUUGGAUGAUCCGGCAAGAGUGCGUCAGCAUUAUAGAGAGUGCGAGCAACAUAC